ACGGGGGGAGCAAGCGUUGUUCGGAAUCACUGGGCGUAAAGGGAGUCUAGGCGGUUUGGUAAGUGGGAUGUGAAAUGCCCGGGCUCACCCCGGGACCUGCAUCCCAAACUGCUGAGCUUGAGUACAGGAGAGGGUGGGGGAAUUCCAGGUGUAGCGGUGAAAUGCGUAGAUAUCGAGAGGAACACCUGCGGCGAAGGCGGGUUGCUGGGCUGACACUGACGCUGAGGCGCGAAAGCUAGGGGAGCGAACGGGA
rnacentral:rRNA from 1 species